AAAGCAAACUUUCAAGAUAUUUCAAAUCAGAACUGGCCAGGAAAUUCAGCACGUGGACAGACAUGGAAUCAUGUGCAUUUUUCCUUUGGAGGACGGGGGUAGGUUUGGGUGCUGGAGGGUGUUACCUGGGAGCAGAGCGAUAGAAGGAAGAAAGGGCACUGCUGGUUCCCACCUCAUCCAUCCCCUCCUCCCAGGUCCCAACCUGGCCAGAAUCAACGGUCCCUGGGAAGAAAAUAAAAAGGAAAGCAACAAAGGAAAUGAAUUCCCAUAUAGAAAGGGAAAUUGCCUUUCCCCUUAAGGUCAGACUAGUCCGAAGUAAAGGCCUGGUGCCGCCCUAGUGAUCGCCUCUGCUGGAGCCCUGACGCUGGAGCUCCUCUGCCCUCGCAGAACAGCCAGGACUUUCUUGCAGCCGGAACCAGCCACGUCCUGAUUCCACACUCCGAUGAGAAGCCAGCCAGCUCCACACUUACUCAAUGAAUCCAAAGAGCACCAAGUGGAUUCUCUGCCACACGAUUGAAGAGGGCAAGCUGUCGGGGGGCGGGGGGUGGUUCCACUUCCUUCCAACUCAACUAUUCUGAGCUGAAGUACUAGACCCGUUUUGUUUUUCUUGUUUUUUUCCUGCUUCAGUAAAUCUGGAAAAAUCCUGCAGGUCUGAAAAA